GAAGUGGAAAUUCUAGUAGUAUAACAAUCGAUUGAACCCAUGAAAAAACAUAUUAAUGCCCAGUCUUUUUCCUUUCUCACAAUGCUAAUAAUUUUGGAACAAUUGAAAAUAAUUAAAACUACAGCAGUCCAAACCCUAAUUUCCUUAAUAAUCAAGAAACGUAAGUACGGGGGCAAAGAUUAAUAAAAACGAAAAUGAAAUAGUGAAAGCAAAGAAAAUUAUGAAAUAAGAGGAAGGAGAAGAAACUACCAGUCGAUCCGAGGUUAAAUUAG
rnacentral:misc_RNA from 1 species